rnacentral:rRNA from 1 species
GGGAAUUUUGGGCAAUGGGCGAAAGCCUGACCCAGCAACGCCGCGUGAGGGAUGAAGUAUUUCGGUAUGUAAACCUCGAAAGAAUGGGAAGAAUAAAUGACGGUACCAUUUAUAAGCUCCGGCUAACUACGUGCCAGCAGCCGCGGUAAUACGUAGGGAGCAAGCGUUGUUCGGAUUUACUGGGCGUAAAGGGCGCGUAGGCGGCGCGGUAAGUCACUUGUGAAAUCUCUGAGCUUAACUCAGAACGGCCAAGUGAUACUGCUGUGCUAGAGUGCUGAAGAGGCAACCUGAAUUCUUGGUGUAGCGGUGAAAUGCGUAGAUAUCAAGAGGAACACCUGAGGCGAAGGCGGGUUGCUGGGCCGACACUGACGCUGAUGCGCGAAAGCCAGGGGAGCAAACG